ACACACUCAGUCAGCAGGUCGCAAAUCAUUCAACGACAUUUUUCUAUUCUAUUUCUAAAUAUUCAGGGUGGUUCAGAUUUUUUUGUCUUUUUUAAGAUGAGAAUUUUCGAUCCAGCAUAAUAAAGCUCGAACAACGCUAUCUGCUACGGUCGAUAUUUCCGACCCUCCGACCGGUCCCUUCAAACCUCUUCCUGAACCAACGAACGGCGGUACAGAUAACAACAUCUUUCAUACUUCCGCCAACCAUCAACAGUGCAAACACGCAAAGCCCAAAAAUGAAAGCGUAAUUCGGCAGCACGCCCCGCCCAAAAGGAAAAUAAAACAAAUAGUCGGUGUCGGCCGAGCGAAAUUGCUGUGUCAAGAAUGGUUCUCCGAGAGCUGGUUCGUCCCGCGGAAUCGCUGCUGGAUCAGCUGGCCGUGAUAGUGAAACUUCCGGCCGCAACUAUCUACAUCAUAACCAAGGGAAUCUUCCUGAUUGUCAGUACGCUAACGAAAUUCGGUCGGAUGAUCAAUCAGUGAAGCGGUACCCGGAGAAAUGUGAAUGUUGUUGUAUCAAUUAUCAAUCAUCUUCCAGUCAAUCGGACGCUUGGUUUUUGGAUCGAUGGUUUUUCCCCUUUACCCCAUGUUAGCAUAUUGUGAGUGUGAUGUGACACGCGUAGAGCGCAGCGUUUAUCGGUGGUAUGAUAGAAUUCGUUCAGAGCUUAUGAUAAAUUAUUUUUCUAAUAAUAUGCCAAAAUAAUCUGUUAAGAUUUACAUACAGUGGUUUUUGAAAAUACAUUUUUUUUAAUUAACAGAUA